UACGUAGGGUGCAAGCGUUGUCCGGAAUUACUGGGCGUAAAGAGCUCGUAGGCGGUUUGUCGCGUCGUCUGUGAAAACCAGCAGCUCAACUGUUGGCUUGCAGGCGAUACGGGCAGACUUGAGUAUUUCAGGGGAGACUGGAAUUCCUGGUGUAGCGGUGAAAUGCGCAGAUAUCAGGAGGAACACCGGUGGCGAAGGCGGGUCUCUGGGAAAUAACUGACGCUGAGGAGCGAAAGCGUGGGUAGCGACCAGGAUUAGAUACCCUGGUAGUCAAGGGCG
rnacentral:rRNA from 1 species